rnacentral:piRNA from 1 species
UCCUUCCACUGAAAGUACAUGAUGGGUCAC